ACGGGAGGCAGCAGUGGGGAAUAUUGGGCAAUGGGCGCAAGCCUGACCCAGCAACGCCGCGUGAGCGAUGAAGGUCUUCGGAUCGUAAAGCUCUGUCCUUAGGGACGAAGAAGUGACGGUACCUAAGGAGGAAGCCCCGGCUAACUACGUGCCAGCAGCCGCGGUAAUACGUAGGGGGCGAGCGUUAUCCGGAAUUAUUGGGCGUAAAGAGUACGUAGGUGGUUUUGUAAGCGUAAGGUGAAAGCCUGGGGCUUAACUCCAGCGAGCCUUACGAACUGCAAGACUUGAGUGCAGGAGGGGAAAGUGGAACUCCUAGUGUAGCGGUGAAAUGCUUAGAUAUUAGGAAGAACACCAGUGGCGAAGGCGACUUUCUGGACUGUAACUGACGUUGAGGCUCGAAAGCGUGGGGAGCAAACAGGAUUAGAUACCCUGGUA
rnacentral:rRNA from 1 species